rnacentral:snoRNA from 1 species
CCAAUGUGGAUAUCCAGGGAGGUUGCUCUCCCGUGGCUCUGUCCAUGUGGCGUAUGGGAGCGUAGGCCUUCGGGCUCUGUGACGUAUAGUCCCAUUCCACGCCAUUGGAGAGCAAGCCAGGCCUUCAGGUCUGCAACCUGCAUAUUCCUACAGCUUCUCUGAGUCUUCGGACAGUGACUGAGAAGAUAAACCAUGCAGGACACAAUG